rnacentral:rRNA from 1 species
UACGAAGGGGGCUAGCGUUGUUCGGAAUUACUGGGCGUAAAGCGUGCGCAGGCGGUUUUGUAAGCCAGAUGUGAAAUCCCCGGGCUUAACCUGGGAACUGCAUUUGGGACUGCAAGGCUUGAGUACGGCAGAGGGGGGUAGAAUUCCUGGUGUAGCAGUGAAAUGCGUAGAUAUCAGGAGGAAUACCGAUGGCGAAGGCAGCCCCCUGGGUCGAUACUGACGCUCAUGCACGAAAGCGUGGGGAGCAAACAGG